CUGAAAGAUGUUUUAUGACUCACAGUUCUCAAGAGGAUGGGCAUGCCACACCACACUGUUACUGAACCAGGUUCAUUUUUGCCUGCCUCCCAGAAAUCCAACCACCAAGACAACAAGAUUGCAGCAGAGAGGGAGUUUCAUCACAAGGCAGCCAUGCGAGGAAGCAAGAGCAUGAGUCUCAAAUCUGCUUCCCUGAAAACAGGGACUUAGGAAUAUUUAUGGGGUAGGGGGCAAGGUGGUCUGAAAUGUGGAGAGAGCUGAUUGGAGGUGAGAAGAGGUGAGAUGACUGAUGAUCCGUGCAAGUGUAGUCAGACUUCAUGCCUCUUCAUGGGACCCAGGUUCACAAAAUGGCAAUAUUAGCAUGAUCUGAGGGUGGAGAUUUUAGCCUCUUGAGGUCAAAACGUUGCCAAUUGGACAUCUGCACAGGCCUGGUUGAUGAGCUGGUGGUCUCAAUCAGCCUGAAGUGGACGAGGAGUUCUAAUUCCUGAAAAACAGCUCACACACCCAUUACCAUGGUGACCCAGGCUCCAGGGAGAUGUUAACUAUAGGAACUUAGUGGGAGUCAAAUAGCAUAUUGCCUAAACAGCACAGUUAACAAUGGGUGGGUUAAACAGCUAAAAGCUAUAAUCAGUAAUUGCAAAAAGGAAAAAUCUUUAGUACCUAGGUACUUAAUCAUCAAUGGCUGUUUGCCCAUUUCAACACAGGGCCAGGUGGGGAAGCACCAGGGUCUGUGAGGAGCAGAAGGAGAGGAGAAGGCACCGGCUGGAACUUUGAGUCAUUUCCACAGGAGGAAUGGGCACACAGGGCAGGGAAGUUUGAACAAGUUUAGGAUUGAAUCGUCUGAGUAAUUACAGUGGGUUCUGGCCCUGGGGGGCUCUGGGGCAGGGGAAACGUUGGCUGGUGUGUGAGAGUCACUUACAGAGGGGGCUGGGGUGUGACCUCUGGCUUGUUUGGCUUGUAUGUGAAAGGUGUGCUCUCCGGCAAGUUGUUUGCUGUCUCUAGGAACUAGCUGGCCCUGGAAGGGGCAGUGUCUCCCAGCCAGCAAGGCCCCCACGAUGUCAAAGAAUCACAAAGUACAAGAUAAAAAACAUGAUUAAUGCAGUGUAGAAGUGUGUCAAAUGUUUCCUCAGAGUUAUUCCCAUCUGUGUAUGUGUGCUUUCCUUUUCACUAACUGAUAUGACAUAACACAUGAAGAUAUUUCUUAAUACUUAAAAAAUACUUCAUUCUCAAAAGUAAAAGCAAAAAAUAUAAAAAACUUACUGCUUUGUGUAUGUAACGUACCCUCUUCACGGAUGCCAGACUGUUCUAACCAUCUAAAUGUCACGGCAUCCCAACCCCACUUAAGUCGCUCACACAGCUCCUCUGAAGCUGAAUUCCUCAGGAGGACACACAUAGGCCCUUGCAACAGGGGCCAGGGCAGAUAUUCAGCUCCAACUCCCGCCACUAAGAAGAGCAAACUAUUCGCCUUUUAUCUACACACAAAAAUGAUAAAAAUCCCAGGGCUGUCCCGGUGGUGCAGCGGUUAAGUUCACACGUUCCACUUCGGCGGCCCAGGGUUCACCCGUUUGGAUCCCAGGUGUGGACCUAAGCACCACUUGGCAAGCCAUGCUGUGGUAGGCAUCCCACAUAUAAAGUAGAGGGAGAUGGGCAUGGAUGUUAGCUCAGGGCCAGUCUUCCUCAGCAAAAAGAGGAGGAUUGGUGGCAGAUGUUAGCUCAGGGCUAAUCUUCCUCAAAAAGAACCCCAAAAAGGUAAAAAUCCCUCACAUUAUCAUUCACUAUGUGCUGGGCACUCCACUAAGCAUUUACACGCAUUUCUCCAUUUAAUCCUUCAAAUACUUCAUUUUACAUGCUAGAAAGUCGAGUCUCAGAACAUAAGUAACUUGGCCCAGCUCACGCACUCAGGAAGUGGUGGAGGAGGACAUGCAGCAGCCUGGUCCUUUCAGGACCCUCACAGGUGGCGGCCUUCCUCUGGCCUUUUCAUCUUACUGUUCCUCUCAUGGAUGUCCUGCUCCUCCCUCCCCCACUGUGACCCGAGGUGGGGGGGGGGGGGGCGCCUCAGCUGGAUGGAAUGUUGACAGGUUUCUUCCUGACUCUAUGCCCCUGACCUCCUUUUCCUCAGAGCAUUUCCUUUAGAAAACUUGUCGUUGUAAAUUCUUUUUCUGCCCCUUUGAGAUGUAAAUCUCCCCCCAGCACCUGCCAGUUUUACAGCCCAGGAAAGUCUGUCUCAAAGACGUGGGAGCCAGCACUCGGAAAGGUGACCAUCAAGGAGAUGCCCCUUGUCUCCCCAUCUCCGUGGGAGGGCAGGAGCCUAACUUGGACACAGCCUCUGUGAAGCUCCCCACCCCACCAGCAGGGGGCAGCCUCCCCUCCACCGUGGUCUCCCCCAUUGGAGCUCCUCUCCGGCCCCACUGAGAUCAUCUGCCUUCAUGACCACAUCGCUGGUCCACCUGUGCACCUCACUCAUCUGUAUACUUCUCUUUUCCCAGCCCUCUGGCAGCCAGCAGAGCACAUGCCACUCAGGAAGCACUCAGUAAGGGUUUGUUGAAGUGAUCAAAUAAAUGAG
ensembl:lncRNA